UAGGUGAAAGCCAAAAUAGAGGCAUCUAGCUGUUAAUUAGGGAACUGUAAGGUAAAUUUACUCACUUAG
rnacentral:tRNA from 1 species